GUAAAUAAUAAAGGGCGUAUGGUGGAUGCCUAGGCUCUCAGAGGCGAAGAAGGACGUGAUAAGCUGCGAAAAGCUCCGUUUAGGUGCAAAUAACCUUUGAUGCGGAGAUCUCCGAAUGGGAUAACCCAAUAUGUUGAAGACAUAUUAUACCGUAAGGUAGGCAAACGCAGGGAACUGAAACAUCUAAGUACCUGCAGGAGAAGAAAACAAACGUGAUUCCCCCAGUAGCGGCGAGCGACCGGGGAUAAGCCCAAACCGUUAUUGUUUCGGCAGUAGCGGGGUAGUAGGACUGCGACAUUGAUGAAAUAAAUGAAAUGGAACACCUUGGAAAAUGUGAUCACAGAGGGUGAUAAUCCCGUACAUGCAAGUUUAUGAAUCAUAGCAGACUCCUGAGUAAGUCGGGACACGUGUAAUCCUGACCGAAUCCGCCGGGACCAUCCGGCAAGGCUAAAUACUCCUGAGAGACCGAUAGUGAACCAGUACCGUGAGGGAAAGGUGAAAAGCACUUCGAACAGAAGAGUGAAAUAGUCCCUGAACCCAUACGCCUACAAGCAGUCGGAGCCGCUUCGUGCGGUGACGGCGUGCCUUUUGCAUAAUGAGCCUACGAGUUACUCAUCACCAGCGAGGUUAAGUACUUCAGGUACGUAAGCCGAAGCGAAAGCGAGUCUGAAUAGGGCGUCAAGUUGGUGGUGGUAGACGCGAAACCUUAGUGAUCUACCCAUGGGCAGGGUGAAGGUUUGGUAACACAAACUGGAGGCCCGAACCGGUAAACGUUGAAAAGUUUUCGGAUGACCUGUGGGUAGGGGUGAAAGGCCAAUCAAACUGGGAAAUAGCUCGUACUCUCCGAAAUGCAUUUAGGUGCAGCCUCUGUUGUUUUGUUCUAGAGGUAGAGCUACUGAUUGGAUGCGAGGGCUUCACCGCCUAUCAAAUCCGGCCAAACUCCGAAUGCUAGAACAUGAAGACAGGGAGUGAGCCAGCGGGUGCUAAGGUCCGUUGACGAAAGAGGGAGAACUCAGACCAUCAGCUAAGGUCCCCAAUUGUAUGCUAAGUUGGAAUUAAAACGGGGUGGGACUGCUUAGACAGCUAGGAUGUUGGCUUGGAAGCAGCCAUUCAUUUAAAGAGUGCGUAACAGCUCACUAGUCGAGCGGUCCUGCAUGGAUAAUACGCGGGCAUAAGCAUAUAACCGAAGCUAUGGGAUUGUAGAUGAUACAAUCGGUAGGAGAGCAUUCCAUUCAGCAUAGAAGCAGUACCGUGAGGUAUUGUGGAGCGGAUGGAAAAGCAAAUGUAGGCAUAAGUAACGAUAAUGCGGGUGAGAACCCCGCACGCCGAAAGAUCAAGGAUUCCCCGGCAAUGUCAAUCAUCCGGGGGUAAGUCGGAUCCUAAGGGUAAGCCGAGUGGCGAUCCCGAUGGUAAACAGGUUAAUAUUCCUGUACUGAUCAUAACUGCGAUGCAGCGACGCAGAGGUGACACUGCUGCGUACUGACGGAAUAGUACGUUGAAACCCGUAUUCUUUGAUACCGGUAGUGAAGCACGCCGGUAGAGAUGAAAGGUGAUAGUACCGCAAUGCUUCGGUUGCGCGGAUAAUGCAGGUAAGCUGACUGCCAAGAAAACCUGCUAAGCUUCAGGUAAUGAUCAUCCGUACUGUAAACGGACACACGUGAUCAGGUAGAAAAUACUAAGGCGCUCGAGAGAUUCAUGGUUAAGGAACUAGGCAAAAUGGUCCUGUAACUUCGGGAUAAAGGACGCUCUUGUGAAAGAGCCGCAGAUAAUAGGCCCAGGCGACUGUUUACCAAAAACACAUGGCUAUGCUAAUUCGCAAGAAGAUGUAUAUGGCCUGACACCUGCCCGGUGCCGGAAGGUUAAGAGGAGAGCUCAGAGGCAACUCGAAGGUUUGAAUUGAAGCCCCGGUAAACGGCGGCCGUAACUAUAACGGUCCUAAGGUAGCGAAAUUCCUUGUCGGGUAAGUUCCGACCUGCACGAAUGG
rnacentral:rRNA from 1 species